rnacentral:sRNA from 1 species
UACCAGAUGAAAAGAAUGCCAAUGGGUC